rnacentral:rRNA from 1 species
AGAAAAAGUAGUUGACAAAAU